rnacentral:rRNA from 1 species
CCUAGAAAUGGGGAAUAACUCCUCGAAAGAGGAGCUAAUACCGCAUAAGACCACAGCCACUACGGUGGACGGGGUUAAAGGUGACCUCUAUUUAUAAGUUACCGUUUCUAGAUGAGCCUGCGCAGCAUUAGCUAGUUGGUAGGGUAAUGGCCUACCAAGGCUACGAUGCUUAGCUGGUCUGAGAGGAUGAUCAGCCACACUGGAACUGAGACACGGUCCAG